rnacentral:rRNA from 1 species
ACUAACUUGUAGCCAGAAGCCGCGGUAAUACGAAGGAUCCAGUCGGUAUCCGGACUUAUUGGGUUUAAAGGGUGCGUAGGCGGCUUAGUAAGGCAGAGGUGAAAGCCUGGAGCUUAACUCCAGAACUGCCUGUGAUACUGAUGAGCUUGAAUAUAGUUGAGGUAGGCGGAAUGUGUCAUGUAGCGGUGAAAUGCUUAGAUAUGACACAGAACACCGAUUGCGAAGGCAGCUUGCUAAACUAUAAUUGACGCUGAGGCACUAAAGCGUGGGGAUCAAACAGGAUUAGAUACCCUGGUAGUC